CAGUUCUGAAGGCCGAGACGUCCAAGAUCAAGAUGAAACUGUCAGUAUCUGGUCCAGAGCUUUUCACCUUGUCCUUAUAUGGCAUAAGUCAGGAGAGGAAGAAGACAUAUGUCUCUGCUCUGUAUGGCUCUUGUAACUGUGUUCACUAGUUAUGAGGCCAGAUGGGAAGCAACGAGAAGACGCAAACCCUUGGCUUUAUUCACUCAGGCUGAAGCUCUACCCACAAAGUUUCCUCUCCAGUCUCCUCAGUCCCACCCCAGCGCACCGGGAAGAGAGGGUUCUGCCAUUUUCUACGCUUGUGCUGGGGCUCACACUGAAAUCACUGAUGGAAAUAGUGAAGAGUUCCCUGCUGUGUAGAACAUCAAUUCCAUCAGCUGUAUAGCAGCUACAGCCCUGAGUCCAGUAAAAGCCGUGUCACAGUCAAACGAUCCUUUAUGCGUCUCAGAAUCGGUCAAACACAUCGAAGAAUCACAGCAAAAACUAAACGUGUCAUGUUCUGAAGAAACAUCUCUGUUGAUUAUACAUGUUGGAUUCACGUACCAAGUCUGAAGAAACACAAAAAGUUAUGUGAACUCUCUUAAAUGGCUAGGCAGAAUUUAAAGCAUCACUGGACUGCAGCAGAGUCUUUCAAGCCAUUUGGGCUUAUAAGGUCCUUUAAGAACUUUUAAAAGCCACAAUAGAAGGAAACACAUCUGCAGAAAAUGAACUAUUUUUAAAAUACACUUUCAUGGGGUUCAAGGAACCACCUGAAAGACACUGAUAAACUCUGCAAAGUACAGACAUACUGAUGGAAAAGAAAGGCUUCUGAUAUCCAUAAUCUUUGAUGUCUGAGACAAAGAAGUUUUAUGUCUUUCAAAUGGCAGAUUCCCAGAUACAUUUCAGAUGGGAGCAAAUGCCGACUUAAACAGUUAGUUGUAUGUUGUUUUGUAAUGUGCAAACUCAGUCAUAAACCAUGAUAGCAUUUUAGCAUCUUUGGGUACAAUUUGUGUGUGUGUGUGUGUGUGUGUGUG
rnacentral:lncRNA from 1 species